CCUACGGGUGGCAGCAGUGAGGAAUAUUGGUCAAUGGGCGGGAGCCUGAACCAGCCAAGUCGCGUGAGGGAAGACGGUCCUACGGAUUGUAAACCUCUUUUGCCGGGGAGCAACGGGGUCCUUGCGAGGUCCCAAUGAGAGUACCCGGAGAAAAAGCAUCGGCUAACUCCGUGCCAGCAGCCGCGGUAAUACGGAGGAUGCGAGCGUUAUCCGGAUUUAUUGGGUUUAAAGGGAGCGUAGAUGGGUUGUUAAGUCAGUUGUGAAAGUUUGCGGCUCAACCGUAAAAUUGCAAUUGAUACUGGCAGUCUUGAGUACAGUUGAGGUAGGCGGAAUUCGUGGUGUAGCGGUGAAAUGCUUAGAUAUCACGAAGAACUCCGAUUGCGAAGGCAGCUUACUAAACUGCCACUGACAUUGAUGCUCGAAAGUGUGGGUAUCAAACAGGAUUAGAUACCCGAGUAGUC
rnacentral:rRNA from 1 species